rnacentral:rRNA from 1 species
UACGUAGGCGGCAAGCGUUGUUCGGAGUUACUGGGCGUAAAGGGUGUGUAGGCGGUUCUUUAAGUUUGGUGUGAAAUCUCCCGGCUCAACCGGGAGGGUGCGCCGAAUACUGAGGGACUCGAGUGCGGGAGAGGAAAGUGGAAUUCCUGGUGUAGCGGUGAAAUGCGUAGAUAUCAGGAGGAACACCGGUGGUGUAGACGGCUUUCUGGACCGUAACUGACGCUGAGACACGAAAGCGUGGGUAGCAAACAGG